rnacentral:rRNA from 1 species
UACGUAGGGCGCAAGCGUUGUCCGGAAUUAUUGGGCGUAAAGAGCUCGUAGGCGGCUUGUCACGUCGGAUGUGAAAGCCCGGGGCUUAACUCCGGGUCUGCAUUCGAUACGGGCUAGCUAGAGUGUGGUAGGGGAGAUCGGAAUUCCUGGUGUAGCGGUGAAAUGCGCAGAUAUCGGGAGGAACAUCAGUGGCGAAGGCGGCCUUCUGGUCCAGUACUGACACUCAAGUGCGAAAGCGUGGGGAGCAAACAGG